rnacentral:rRNA from 1 species
UACGUAAAUAUCUAAAAUUUGGUUUUUGAACUGGAUUAGUACCCAGGUAAUCAAAAGUAAUUAAUUCGGGAGUAAAGUUUUGUUUAAACCGAAAAAAUAUUGACUGACUUUAGAUUUUUCUUUGGAACAUGUGUUUGGAGAGCCCUCCUUUUUUGCGAAUUUUGUGGGUACAUGUAUGAUUGUUUAGUUUUUAUAUUAUUUUGUAAUGCUAUUAAAUUUAAAACAGAUAUAUACUUGGCUAAUAAAUUCGGUUUUCAUGUGUUACUAUUAUUA